AUCUGUUUAAUUGUAAUGUAAUUUCCAUUGUAGAUAAUAUGGUGAGGGCUCCAGCUCCCCAAAAUGAUGAGACAGACUCUUUAAACACACAGGUUGGCAAUGGGACUUUAAUUUAUUCUUCAAAAAGUACCUCUAAUUGGAGGUAGUAAACUGAAGUUUACUUGAAGACCUCCAAGACCAGUUGGUCUCCCUGAAGGAACAGAUGGAUCUCUGCAACACUGUUCUGAAGGACUUGGUGGACAUGCAGGGUAUUUUAAGGGAGAAGAACCUUAGUGAUGGAUCAUUCCCUGCUCCGAAGUGACUGAUUUUACUCAUGGU
rnacentral:lncRNA from 1 species